UACGUAGGGUGCGAGCGUUAAUCGGAAUUACUGGGCGUAAAGCGUGCGCAGGCGGCUUUGCAAGACAGAUGUGAAAUCCCCGGGCUUAACCUGGGAACUGCAUUUGUGACUGCAUGGCUGGAGUGCGGCAGAGGGGGAUGGAAUUCCUGGUGUAGCAGUGAAAUGCGUAGAUAUCAGGAGGAAUACCGAUGGCGAAGGCAGGUCUCUGGGCUGACACUGACGCUCAUGCACGAAAGCGUGGGGAGCAAACAGG
rnacentral:rRNA from 1 species